ACUACGGGAGGCUGCAGUGAGGAAUAUUGGUCAAUGGCCGUAAGCCUGAACCAGCCAAGUCGCGUGAAGGAUGAAGGAUCUAUGGUUUGUAAACUUCUUUUAUAGGGGAAUAAAGUUAUCGACGUGUGGAGAUUUGCAUGUACCCUAUGAAUAAGCAUCGGCUAACUCCGUGCCAGCAGCCGCGGUAAUACGGAGGAUCCGAGCGUUAUCCGGAUUUAUUGGGUUUAAAGGGUGCGUAGGUGGUUUUUUAAGUCAGCGGUGAAAGUUUGUGGCUCAACCAUAAAAUUGCCGUUGAAACUGGAAGACUUGAGUGUGUUUGAGGUAGGCGGAAUGCGUGGUGUAGCGGUGAAAUGCAUAGAUAUCACGCAGAACUCCGAUUGCGAAGGCAGCUUGCUAAGCCAUAACUGACACUGAAGCACGAAAGCGUGGGGAUCGAACAGGAUUAGAUACCCUAGUAGUC
rnacentral:rRNA from 1 species